AAUCUAACUGAUUCCAACUGUCAGUGAGUCUACUGUGUAACAGUCUGGAUCUCCUUCUGGAGAAGGCAAACAUCCGAAUCUGCUACCAGACUUCUCCCUGUCUUCUUUCCCCCACCUCCCUUCAUCACCUUAAGCUCAUUAAUUUGAAACAUCAGAUAUGUGUUCCUCAUGUUGGAGAAAGCUGGACGGAUGAGAAUCCUCCUCAAGUGGACCAGAGUUUUUAUUUUCAUUACCACGGUGGCUACUGAGCAGCUUUUUGGGGGAGUUGGACCUCUCUUGUUUAGCCCUGCAGUGAAGACGAAGAUCUGUACGCUCAACAAGUUUAAUCACUCCCUAAAGUGGUCAUCGGAGGCCUUCUCGUUGAGAGCAAGAGUUUCACCUUGACCAUAACUGUCUUCACAAAUCCUCCCCAAGUGGCCAGCUAUCACAGAGCUAUUCAAGUUACAGUGGAUGGGCCCCAGGAACCCAGAAGUCAUCAUUUUAAGACAUGACAUUAUACUUAAGAUCCCAAAUUUGUAAAAGUCCUGUGUUUCGGCAAGGCGUUUUGACCUGUUGGCAAGUGAGCCCUGAAGGACAACUGCCGUAGGUUUGCCAGCAGGAGAAGUCAGUGUAGCAGCGGCAGCAGCAACGGAAGUUACUGUGGCCGAGUUCAGAAAGUCCAGAAGCGGACCCUCCACUUUAUGGUCAACUAAUAUUCAACAAAGCAGGAAAGACUAUCCACUGGAAAAAAAGUCUCUUCAAUAAACGGUGCUGGGAAAAUUGGACAUCCACAUGCAGAAGAAUGAAACUGGACCAUUCUCUUACACCAGACACAAAGAUAAACUCAAAAUGGAUGAAAGAUCUAAAUGUGAGACAAGAUUCCAUCAAAAUCCUAGGGGAGAACACAGGCAACAGCCUUAAACAUUUUAAAGCACAAAAGUUCAUUAAAGACCAAGUCCUCUUUAGACUUCUGAAAGUAAAGUAUGCCAGACAGGAGCAGUCUUCCCUGCUGUGGUCCUAUGACCAGUCUUAUCCAUCCUACCUGAGCCAGAGGACAUUCCCGUCAAUUCACUCCACCACCCCGCUGUCUUCCACGGGGGGCAUGGGGUUUCCUGCCAUCACCGACGUGCCCAGGUGCAUUUCAGGUAAAGACCAUACUUUAACUACAGACCCACUCCUGCGCUGGGUGAGGCUGGGGUUGCAGGCUGGGCCGAGGCUCACGGUAACUCUCUAUCAGCGGCGUGUGGGCAAGGGGAUGACAGCUGGCACACCGCGUCCUCUGGAUUACGAGGUUAUCAAGUACUUGAACAUUUUAAGUGAAAAGACUGAAAGCCUGCCAGAGCUGGCAUCAUUUCCUUAAGAUGAAAGUUAAUGCCACCGAGCUUUCGUUCUGCUGAAUUGUGUCCCCUUCGGUGGGCGCGGUCUCCACCUUCUACUGAGGUGGGCCUUCUCCUGAGGGUCUUAGGCCAGGCCUUCCUCUGCUUGCGUUCCUUUCUCUUCUUGAUGUCGCCUGUAAGCCAGAUUACAGACUGAAGGCACGGCCUUCCAUUUCUAGAGCCUCUGAAGUCCCACACGUCCGAGCUGACUCGUUUGCGAGAGAACACGUGCGAACUUCAGAUCUGUAUCAGAAGCUAGUCAUUUUAAGUGUGCUGAGGCCUGGACAAAUCUUAAAAGAUUCUUCUGAGAAUCUCUGAGGAAUUUCAGUUUCUUUCUGUGCCCAUGGACCUCUCUGAUGCUUUCGUGAGGUCUCUUAGAGAGGUAAGAUACGUGAGUUAGAGAUAUAAGGGUAGGGUCAUAUAUGUUGUCUGCCUUUUGUUACUCUAAGAGAGGCCAAUGCAGGUUGUAUGGAUGAUUUUUUUCUACAAUUGUAGGAUUGGUUUUUUUUUUAAUGUGAGACAGAGAGUUAAGAACUGUAAUUUUUUUAAGGUUACAUGUUUUUUGUUUGUUUCAGCAAAUGGUCUUGAAUUUCUUCUUGCAAAAUAUUUAAAUACCAAAAAUUCCACUUAAUCAACUGCACAGGACUAUUAAAGAUGUCUCUUUUUAUGACUCUUAGUCCCUAAACUAUAUUUCCAAAGGUCAGCAGAAUAGGCGUUAGUCUAAUAAAUAAAGUGACUAAACAUUAUUUUACUAUUACCACAAACUCUAGAAAGUGCCAGUGGAAAAACCCCAAAUGAUCAGUCAAGGCCUAUCAGGAGGGGUUGCUUCCUUCAUGUGAUUUCAACCCCAGCUGUCUUUGAUGCAGUUCAUUUUUAAACAUCUCUUCUGACUGAGUUUCUAUCAAGUCCCCCAAGUCCGGUUUUGAAACCAGCAGCUUCAAUAAUGUGCCAAGUAUAUGUGGACAUUUAUUUUCACAGGACCACUCGUAACUCACAGGAGGGAGUGACGCCUUAAGAGAGGUUAAAAGGAAAGCUCCAGGAAUUAAUACUAAUAAACCAGAAAGUUAAAGCAACCAUAAGAAAGCACUAGAACAUCUACUUUUUGCUACAGAACCAUUCCUUUAUUAAGAGCCACCUGUUUGAUAGACACACCUCUGCCACAGCAGCCACAGGCAAGUAAUUAAGUUUAAUAGGAGCCACUCUUAUUUUGAAGAAGUUCUCUGUUGAAAUCCACAGAGGGGGCAGUUAUUAAAUUUAAUAGACCCUAAGCAAAGGCAAGCCCUGUGUUGCCAGUUGAAUGUUGUUCAGUUGUCUUCUCUGUGUUCUCUCGACUGUGAUUGGUUGCGUUAUUUUGGCAUAGAAUAUGCCAAAUGUUGAAAUGCAUCUGGCUUUCUCUAAAGAUAGGCUCUCUGCUGACACGAGCAGAUGAUGUUUUGAUCUUAUUGUUGGGGAGAAGGGGGUGGGUGUCCCAAGUUCAGGGCAUACCUGGACCUUGGCUUACUAUGGGUUUUGAGUUGCUGGUGCUGAGGACCCAAGAAAUAGCUUCCAUUCUGACCCAAUCAGUGGGGGUAGUUGGCCUGACUCACAGGAUUGACUGAACUUGGCUGUGUGAUAUUUGCUGUUACUUGUAGUUAGACGGGAGGUACAGAAGCUCAGCAGGAACCUGCCUACGUGGCCCGACUCUGAUUUUACACGUGGUUCCUGUCAGCUGUGUUCGUGAACAUUUGUUUUUUGAUACAUGUACAACCACCCACAUGUGAAGAAAAGAUUGAGUAAUGAAGGGGCUCCUGUGUACAGAAGGACGGCAAAACAUUGCUACAGAUUUUACUGAAAGAUUUGCUACAAUCCCUUUCAUUUCCUAAGAGAAAACUUGGGAGUUUGAACCUCGCCUCACUAAAAGUUAUUAAAGUUAAUUUUUUUCAUGAGACGGUGGCUUCUGUGGUUCACAUAGAAGGAGGUGGAGGCAAUUUGACUAAGGGAACCUGAGUUUUAGUUUCAUUGUCAGUGAAGAUUCUGUGCACUAUCCUCAGCUGUGUGUGUCCGUUCAUUCCUUGUGCCUGUGUGGGCCAAAGGGAACAAACUACCCAGAAAUGCCCGACAGCAUGUGUCAGAAUUUUGUGCAAGGAGUGAGAUGAUCUCUGCCCAGGGGUUUGCUGCUCUUGGGACUUUUAACAAAGUUAGCCUUAUCUGAUCCAUGCUAGUGGAGAAACCACUGAGUCAUUGGCUUCAAAAUGGUAGAAAGAUACUCUCUAUAUAUGUUUUUAAAUUGAUACUUCAUUUUUUUUAGAGGAGGUUUAAUUAAAAGCGUUUAGAGAAGUUUUAGAUUUGCAGAAAAAUUGAGCAUAAAGUAGAGCUGGGAUCUUAACUACCACCCCCCUCCACUCCUACCCUACUUGCCCGGCAUUUUGUCUUAUUAUUUACUUCUUGCAUUUGUGUCUUACAUGUGGUACAAUUGAUGAACUGAUAUAUUGAUAUAUUAUUCCUAACUGAAGUCCGUAGUUUAUGUGAGCAUUCACUCUCAGUGUUGUGCACUUCUCUGGGUUUUGUCAAAUGCAUAAUGCCAAGUAUCCACCACUACAAAGUCCUUCUGUAAUAUUUUAACAAUAAUUUCGUUGCCCUAAAAAUUCCCUGGACUGUACCUGUCGGUCCCUCCACCCCUGGCCCCAUAGCCCCCAGGCUGUGAUCUUUUACCUCUCUCAAUAUUUUUGCCUUUUUCAGAAUGUUGUACAAUUGGAAUCAUACAGUCUGUAGCCUUUUCAGCCCGGCUUCUUUCCCUUACUUUGCCAUGUGCAUUUAAGGUCCCUCUAUAUCUUUCCAUUGCUUUGUAGCUCACUUCUUUGUACCACUGGGGACUGUUCUAUUUUAAGGAUGUUAUUUUUUAAAACAUCAAAUCUGCCCUCCCUGUGCGUGGGAAUACCCCACCCACCCACCCCAGGGCCCAUUUCCUUUCGUCACUGACUGUCAAUGAUACCUUCUUUUUAAGAAAGCAUUUCAUGCAUUCACUCCUGGAGAAACACUUCCUCUGUCAGAGCAGUUGUCACAAAACAUGACUCAAUUCAUGGUUUCUGUACUUCUGGGCCAAUUUUUAAUAAAUAUUUUUCUUUGGUUUUGUCUAUAGACUGCUUACUAAACAGUACAUUUAGGUGAUGAUGCUUUUCAAUUCAAGUACAGAAGAGACCUAGCUUAAAAAUACCAGCCCAAUUUAUCUGGCCACUUUGCUGCCCUCCCAGGUAAAGGAUGCUCCUUUUCCCUAAGGAUGGCUGGCGUUCCAUAAGUACACUUACCACUUCCAUGCCAGCCGCCAACCCUUUUUGCCACUAUGUGUCUCUGCCUGUGUGUGUGUGUGUCUCUCUCAUUAAUAAAUAAAUAAAAUCUUGAUGAAAAAUACAAUGCAUGAUUUUGGUGCU